AUUGAACGCUGGCGGCAGGCUUAACACAUGCAAGUCGAGCGAGCGGCGGACGGGUGAGUAAUGUCUGGGAAACUGCCUGAUGGAGGGGGAUAACUACUGGAAACGGUAGCUAAUACCGCAUACCAUCAGAUGUGCCCAGAUGGGAUUAGCUAGUUGGUGGGGUAAUGGCUCACCGAGGCGACGAUCCCUAGCUGGUCUGAGAGGAUGACCAGCCACACUGGAACUGAGACACGGGCCAGACUCCUACGGGAGGCAGCAGUGGGGAAUAUUGCACAAUGGGCGAAAGCCUGAUGCAGCCAGGCCGCGUGUGUGAAGAAGGCCUUCGGGUUGUAAAGUACUUUCAGCGAGGAGGCGUUACGCGCAGAAGAAGCACCGGCUAACUCCGUGCCAGCAGCCGCGGUAAUAC
rnacentral:rRNA from 1 species